GACAAUGAAGACUGAGGUGUCUGCUUUGCAGUUUUUUCUUUUCUUUUCUUGUCUUUUUUUUUUUUUUCCUAAUCAUGUGGACAUCUCUGAGAAUGAGGGGACUGGGUGACUUUGCAGUGUCUGCUUUCUAAGUUUCAAAGUGACUUUCCAGGCAAGCUGCGCAUAUCUUGGGAUCUUCACAGCACAGUGGCUGGGAAGGCAGGCGGACCCGUCUAUCAGCUUCUCCCUGGUGGGAUUCUUGCGGGGGCAGGGAUUGAGUCAAACCUUGGAAAUGACGUCAUUCUGAACUCAUCUGCCUUCAUCCAGAAGACUACCAAAGCAAACCAGAGGACCAGAGAACAGCAGCUGCUCUGGACAAAGAGGGGAGGACACCCACACCCACAUACCAAGUUCUGGUUGACUUCUACAGCAGAAGGAGCAGGAGACACCAGAAGACUCAGAGGGACUGAAAUAUAAGAAGAUCGAUGCCAGAUGUUGUUGUGAUGACAACCUGUUGGGUUGAAGGACCCCAGGAAGACACAGUCCAGAUUCACAGGGACAGAGCCACUCACCUAUUGUCACAUGCAGCACAGAAUAAUGCAGAGGCAUGGCAUCAUAACAAUUCCUGAAUGGUGCUUCUCAGAAGAUGGUACUUCUUGGGGUCUGGUACCUGGACUAGUGAGGCUUCUCAGGGGAUGGGACCCCAACCCAGAAUGACA
ensembl:processed_transcript Gm14005 predicted gene 14005